rnacentral:tRNA from 1 species
AGGCUGUAGCUCAGUGGUAGAGCACUUACCUAGCAUUUGUGAGGCACUGGGUUCAAUCCUCAGCACUA